GGACUACAAGGGUAUCUAAUCCUGUUCGCUCCCCACGCUUUCGCUCCUCAGCGUCAGUUCCGGCCCAGACCACCGCCUUCGCCACUGGUGUUCCUCCUGAUAUCUGCGCAUUUCACCGCUACACCAGGAAUUCCAUGGUCCCCUACCGGACUCAAGCCAUAGCAGUAUCGACUGGCCGCUCCAGGUUGAGCCUGGAGAUUUCACAACCGACUUGCUAAGCCGCCUACGAGCUCUUUACGCCCAAUAAUUCCGGACAACGCUCGCCCCCUACGUAUUACCGCGGCUGCUGGCAC
rnacentral:rRNA from 1 species